CACAGUUCUGGAAGCUUUGAAGUCCAAGAUGAAGGUGGCAGCAGCUUGAGUGUCUGAAACAAGAAGAAAUGGAAAAUAACUGUAGCACGUUUAUGACAUUCGUUUCUUUCUCCACAUGAAACAUACAAUGAGAACACUUUAUAGAUGAAUUGUGUCUUCAAUUGAAUAGAGAAUGGUGGACUAGCUUUGGUUUUAUGGAAUUGGAUAAUUUGUCAUAGUUUCUGCCCCUGGAAAAAUGAGAACCCAAAGGAAAACAAGGGGAAAAACUUUAAAAAAAUCGUGAUAUAAUACACAGCUGAUAUUUUUGGUUCAUAGAAUACUUUAAAGUACAUAAUUUACAAAGCAAAUUACUAAAUUAUAAGAAAUGCUGUCAUCAUCAAUAAACAUUCACAGAGCUUCAGGUUUUAACACAAAGCAUUCCUCUUAUUUCAGGUGAUAUUAUUUAUGAAAAAAAUUACUUGGAGAUUGCUCCAAGGUUAUCACAUUCUUUUCUAACCACCAAUUAUUAUUUACUAUUAUUAGUUAUUAUUUAUAAAUACAUAUGAAUACACAAUGAAAGCAUGCUUUAUGUAUAGCAUAUAAAUAUAUUUGAACUUUACUUUCCCCACAUACUAUCUAUCCUGCAAUAUUACAACACCAGUAAAAGAGUAUCUAAAUAUUAAUUGCUCCUAUCACAAUAGUGGAAACUAGAAGAGAUAAGUUUUCCCAAAUCUGAGUAGAAAACCAUGGUUAGCUGAUAUCCUUUGUCCAUUUACGGAAUUAUAGCAAUAAAAUCCAGCCAAUAAUUUUUAGUUUGCUUAUUAUGUAGUGGCAAAACAUAAUGUCUUUUUCUCACCCAUUACAAGGGUCACAGCUGACACGCCUAUAACAAAAACCAGAUGAACAAGAAAAAUGCAUAACGUGUUCAUUUAAUAAAGUUUUAAGUGACGUGGGAGCCUUCA
rnacentral:lncRNA from 1 species